rnacentral:rRNA from 1 species
GGGUCAGCAGGUUGGUCGUGCCACCGGUACGUACUGGUCUCACUGAUUCCUCCUUCCUGAAGAACCGUAAUGCCAUUAAUUUGGUGUUGCGGGGAAACAGGACUGUUACUUUGAAAAAAUUAGAGUGUUUAAAGCAAGCUAACGCUUGAAUACAUUAGCAUAGAAUAAUGAAAUAGGACGAUCGAUCCUAUUUUGUUGGUUUCUAGGAUUGACGUA